rnacentral:rRNA from 1 species
CUCCUGGAAACGGGUGGUAAUGCCGGAUGCUCCGACUCCUCGCAUGGGGUGUCGGGAAAGAUUAUAUCGGUAUGGGAUGGGGUCGCGUCCUAUCAGGUAGUCGGCGGGGUAACGGCCCACCGAGCCUACGACGGGUAGCCGGCCUGAGAGGGCGACCGGCCACAUUGGGACUGAGAUACGGCCCAGACUCCUACGGGAGGCAGCAGUGGGGAAUAUUGCACAAUGGGCGCAAGCCUGAUGCAGCGACGCCGCGUGCGGGAUGACGGCCUUCGGGUUGUAAACCGCUUUUGACUGGGAGCAAGCCCUUCGGGGUGAGUGUACCUUUCGAAUAAGCACCGGCUAACUACGUGCCAGCAGCCGCGGUAAUACGUAGGGUGCAAGCGUUAUCCGGAAUCAUUGGGCGUAAAGGGCUCGUAGGCGGUUCGUCGCGUCCGGUGUGAAAGUCCAUCGCUUAACGGUGGAUCCGCGCCGGGUACGGGCGGGCUUGAGUGCGGUAGGGGAGACUGGAAUUCCCGGUGUAACGGUGGAAUGUGUAGAUAUCGGGAAGAACACC